CCCUGCCAUGGGUGUCACUUUGACAGCUCGCUCCCGCAUUAGCCAAUAAAUGUGUAAGGUGGACGGGAACGAAGAGUUUCAGCUCCAAAAUGAGACACCAACCACUCUGAAAAGUGACAGCAGAGUGAUCGAUAACACUACAAGCUGCGUGUGGAAAUUGCCACCUCUGAUUGAUUGGCUUCCUGUCAUCAAGGGGAUUAUGAAUGAACUUGCCCUUUCUUCGUGCGUCCUGAAAGAUCCUCACGUGCGGGACACUUAAGAAACUCCACCGCUCACGAUUCCUCACAGUGGGAAUCUGAAAGAGGACCAGCAUGCCAAGAGCUGGCAGCUCAAGCUGGGACAAACACCAAGCUGAGGUCUGACCCCUGCUGACAGAAAUGAGGUUUGUCUUCAGUCUACGGGAGUGCCCCCCAACAUGUCUCCCUUCUUUUUCCUGAUCCCCUUCCCCUCGACUCUGCUCAUAGUCUUUGGCCGAGCAGCUGCUCUGCGAUUUAGAUAUCAUCCUUCUGGCGGGCAGAUACAGGACAUCAAGACAUCCUUUUCUCUGGGGAGUAUGGAGAGCAUGGAAGAAGCAGAAUGUGUGAACGGUGUUUGUCGGACAGGGUUUGAUAAAGAGUCUGUGUGUCAGUGACGGCAAAAUGCCUCCCAGGAGAAUCCCCCUGCACUGCACCCGGACUCAGGAAUACAGUUAGGGAUUUCUUAAGAUCACUUGAAGUCGUAGCCUAACUUGGUCACACGGCGGGAAAACGCCAGAAAAGGGAAAUUAAGCAUUAUCUUGUGUUAAUAUAAAAGCUGGGGAGGCCUGGAAGGUUUAAUUCGAACAAGUGUCCUCUUAUCUUUGUUUUGCGACGUUAAUAUAACAAUCCAAACAAAGUGAGAAAGACAAUCUGUCCUAAAGCAUCUUAAUUAUAAUGUAUUUUAUUUAAAAUCAUGGGAUCAUACUCCCAUAUGUGUUAGAGAACAUGUGUUUUUGAUGACCAUGUGCGCACAUGCAUGAGGCUGCAAUUACAGAUGCAUGUGCAUGAAUAAUAGUUUGACACAAUUAAGGCAGCUAGAGUUCUUUUGUGUUGCAUGCGCUUGUAAAGUUCAAUCAAUUUAAACAAUGCUAUUUUUUUCUUCUUCAGUGCUGCAGCUAAAUUGGAUGAUCUGUCGCCUUAAAUCAGACAGUUCACAUUAAUUUUUUCUGUACGUGCGCUAUUGAUCAAAAGCCUGUCCGGAUCUUUAUUGCAUCUCUGUUUAUUGCAUUUCUUCAUUUCACUUCUUUCCGUGACAACGUUUGGCCCAACGUACAGAGGGACUGUUUCGUGGCAGGGCUCAUCAGAUGGGAAUCCAGAUCAAUUUGUUAGGUCAUGUUUGACCGACUCAUUACUGGCGGUUCGAUUAAAAAAAGCGCAGUGGGCUCAGGUGACUGACAAGGCAGCUGAAGCCAUUAUGCAGAGAUUUGGGAUCGCAUCCCAGGCACUGGAUGGCCAUCCCCUGUCCAGACGCCUCCUACAAACUCAUCCAUCACGAGGAAUUUCAUUUUGCUCCUUAAUGUGGGCUACAUGUUGUUCUGGAAGCCGCAGAAAUGAUCAGAACUUGGGCCAGAUUGGACCGUGGACUGAGCGUGCUCAGUCAUUGUUAUCAUCAACUAUUAUUGUCUUUCAUUGAUUUGGCAGGAAAAGAGUGACUGGCCACGUUCAAAAACGGAGGCGUGUUCCCCACAGCGGUGCCAACACUGGGCAAGAUCAAAUACUCAAUUUCUGCUUCCUUUGCCAAGGACGGCAAUUAAGGCACAUUCCACUCCCGACUCGAUCCUGGUUUUAAAUGUCUCCAAUAUUUCCUUUUAAACAAUUGUGGAAACAGUUUGGAAUUAUUAACAUGUGUGUCCACUCAGCGCGGCCUGCAGAAGAAAUGAAUUGUUCAGCUUUGAUGAGUGCUCUAAUAAAUUAUCAUAUUUGUCAAGAAACACA